rnacentral:rRNA from 1 species
AGCUCUCGUCUUUGGCGACCAGCAAACUCUGGGCUAAAACCUGUAGUUUUGAAGCAAGGGAUGAGCGCGAAAGCCGUUGCGCUUCCGUACACGCGCAUACGUUUUCUUGCUCCGUCGCGCGUUAGUACAAUAACGCGCAGCCGUUUUCUUGCUGGGGCGGACACGGAUUUCUCUCUAAAGGCGAAGACUCAGAAGUGGGCGAACACUCGGCCCAGCGGGCGAACAUGCCGGCUCCGGCUCCGC